GCAUCCUGCCUGUUCAGCUGGUAUUGAGGCAACUGGUCACAGUGAACUAUCCAGGGAUGGCUAAGAACUUGGGCUGCAGUCAGUCUUUGAUGUGGGUCAACAUGAAGCAUUUUUGAAACGAGGUCCUUCGCUGUAUCUGAAACAGUGUUCCAAUAACCACCGCUCAGAGAGAAUUUUCCACUACCUAUCCGGGCCAAGAUCUCCUCUG
rnacentral:lncRNA from 1 species